UUGGCCUCCCAAAGUGCUGGGAUUACAGGUGUGAGCCACGGCACCCAGCGGGACUUUAUUUAUUGCUAAAUGCCCCUUACCUCCUGGCACAGGUAGUUCUUUGUGAAAUGAGCGAAUGCAUACAUCACAUCUUUAAGGUUCAGGAGGGUCUUCGAGGGGACAGCACAUGUGAAGGCAUGGAUGCCUGCUGAAGGCCCUUCCAGGGCUUGUAUCUCUAGGGAUAUGAACUCUCUACUGCCCAGGGCAGUACUGCCCUUUUCCAGACAGUCUUGAAAUUGAGGCAAUAAAUGUCCCCACGCCUAUACCUGAGCAUUAUUACACAGACAUGGCCAUGUGGCCUACACAUGCUCCAAGCAUGGAGGAAGAAGGCCAGGGCAUGGAGGGAGCUUCCUGCUCUGGCGUGGAGAGCGAACACAAGCCUUGGAUCCCAGAGUUCCGCUCCCCUCCGCUGCAGGUGCCUGCCCUGUUCUGUUCUGUUGGCCUGGGAAGGAACUUUGGACAGGCUCUUUUCAAUCUGAGAAGAAUCUGUCCCGAAACUAUGGCAAUUACUUGUAAUCUGCAACUGCCUUGAUUACAGCUUGGGGGACUUUGAUAUUUUCCUCCAAGGACACCAUUUCAGCACAAAAAUUCAAGGAAGUCCCCGGCGCUUGCUUGCUCUCGCCCAGCAGGAGAACUGAAUAUUGACUGGAGAUGGUGAACUUUGAGGCCUGCACCCACAGGCCCCACCAUCAAAGCUGACUCAGGAUCUCAGGGCACCCGCAGGAAGGCUGCUAGGCCUGUGCGGGGCUGCUUUUGCCACUUCCCCCCACGUGGCCUUGGGCACAUCUUUUCACAGCUACCAGCCCUUUUCUCAUCCAAAGGAGAAAGUCAGAACUGCUUAGCAGGAGGUAACAGUACCUUCAAGGUGCUCCCCUCCACAUGUACCUCCAGCCCUCCAGGUGGCCAGCUCAGUGACAAUGCUUUUGGUGGCAUCUAGCUGAACCGCUAGUUUUUUUUUUUUUUUUUCUUAUAUGAAUAGUCAGAGGGGAGAGAGGCAUUGGGGCUAUUUGAUUCAUCAGCUCAGUGAUGCCUUCCAGGCUCGGGCCUUCUCUGAUCUGCCAUCCUUCUUGUUAGUUCCAUCUUCAGGAGGAAGACUGUGGACAACGGGACAGAAUGAGGCUGGAGAGGAGCACGGUGGAGAAGGGGAAAGAGCCCUAAGGCUAUCCUUUGAGCCCCCGGAUCCAGCCAGACCCGAAGCAAAACGAACAAAGCCCUUGAUGACUUAAGAACCAAGCAACUCAUUUUUGGACUGAAAUCAGUUUGACCUAUGUUUCUGAUGCCUGCAAUUGAAGAACUGGGUUUCUUAGCAUGAGGUGAGCUGAUAGUAAAAUACUGAAGCUGGGAAUCCAAAACCAGGUUUUGCUGCACUACUUGACUGCCAUUUCCCACUUGUGAGAUCAGAAGAGCAAAGGACUGCAAUUUAGUAUGGAGGGGCCAGGCAAUGGACUUGUACCAGGCAGGGAAGGGCAGUUGCGUGAGCCCUGAAGUCUGACAGGACAAUGAGCCUCGAGGGAAACUAUGUAAUUCAAACCACUAGGGAAGGUGUCUUACCUCAGACCUCCAACCCCUGCAUGAGAUUGAAAACAAAACAGUAGGACAAUGGCAUAUUUAUUUACAAUUGGACCGAAAAAAGGCAUACAGGCAUUUUUUUUUAAUUAAAAAUAAUAAUGAUUUAAAAAGUCAGAAAAAUUGAUGAUGUUUGAACUCUUUAUGAGGUGUCCGUUUCCCCUUUCCCCUAAAAACAGAAUCUCUUAGG